CUGAUGCAGCCAUGCCGCGUGUGUGAAGAAGGCCUUCGGGUUGUAAAGCACUUUCAGCGAGGAGGAAAGGUUGGUAGCGAAUAACUGCCAGCUGUGACGUUACUCGCAGAAGAAGCACCGGCUAACUCCGUGCCAGCAGCCGCGGUAAUAC
rnacentral:rRNA from 2 species